ensembl:lncRNA
CAGCAACGGGCAUGCCUCGGCACGUCGGGGUUAAUGGAACAAAACGGAGGCGCACAAGAGGACAAAGGGACCGGCGGAUAAAAGAGCGUCGCCAACGGAGACGAGAGAGGCCGUGGGGAAGGUGACUGAAGCGUGACCACGUGGGCAGAUGCUCGCCCCACAUCUCUCCCUUUCCCGCUCUGCGCCCUCCAUUUCCAAACCAGCGGCCCGACGCCGCCGCUCCAAGCGAGUGGGGCGACCACCGGUUCGGUUUCGAUCGGAGGAGUCACCGUUGCCGGCGGUAACCCGGGAAGCGCAGACCCCCGUUCCUACGGCCCCCCGCGUACUUAAUGGAUGCGUGCGACAUGCCGCGUUGUACCGCUUCAUAUUCCAAAGCCUUUACUUUGUGGUGCACACAGUGGUGCGGUGGAAGUUUUCUGUUAAAGUGCAAUGUUGAGCAAAUGCCAUUUGUUAAUUCCUCCUGAUUCCCUCGGGGCACUUAAGGGCCAAACGGGCACAGAUGGGACGUUUGCAGCCUUUUGGAAGCAUCUCAUUUGAUUUGGAUUCAGAAUUAUUGUCUCACACUCUACUUAGCACACGUUGUCUCCACUCAGGAUAUUGGGGAACUUUCUCGUAUAAUAGUACAAUAAAACCUUUUAUUUAUUUUAGGAGCGCUGGGAAUUUAGAAAAAGACAGUGAGUGUGAGUAGUUUAUGUACCAUUUAUACAUUUAUUUCGUGGAAGUAUUGCUUAUGAAUGCUUUCACGCGAUAUAAAAAAGAAGCUCUAGGGAGAAGCUUUUUAUGAUGACCAAAUUCAUUUAUCAUCUUUUUAUGAAUAAACAUGUUAAACACGGCCCGCAUUUUCUCAGAACUCAACAGUCAAACAGAAAAAUUGUGUCAGUACUACAAAAGAAGUAUUCUAUUCUAUUAUUGUGCGUGUUGACCAUGACCCGUUUCUAAAAAGCAGGAAUCGGGCCAAUCACUGGCGGUGAAGCCGACCCAAAAUCCACUCUACUGACUCUCAAUAGGUUUCCACUUCCCUCCCCCACCGACGCUCGGCCACAAGAAUGUGUGUUCUUCCGCAAUAAUGUGUAUUCCAAGAAGCUGUUCAGAACUUACAACACCUUCUGAGUUGAUAAAAACGGCUCAAAUGACUAGUGACUCAAUAAAAACUUUUUUCCCCUC